CAAUGUCGGGCUUGGAGUAGACGUCAACGUCGAAGCCUUCAGGGAUGUUGAGGUCGUCCUUGAGCUCAGGGUCUUUGACGAUGAUGAGAUGGAAACCGGAGAAAAAGGGUCUCCAGCUGUUGAGGAACUGGGUUAGGUCGGCGUUGAGAGCUCCGAUGACAAUGUCAACCUCGUUCUUGUUUAUCUCAGACGACGACAUGUUUGAAUAUCAAGUAGCAAAGUUCUAAGGUAAUCUUCUGCAGAAUGCAGCAGAUCCGAGGCUUUCUUCUUCCUAUUUUUCAGAGGGAAGUUGAUGAACACGAGCUUUGUGUAUGUAAUGGAUUGGGGAUUUAUCACGUUUCCGUAGAAUUGGUCUAAAAACGUCUCGCGCAUUUGCUGCUGCGUCCCGCAAUUCCCUCUUUGAUCGUGCGUGUGCGUGUCGUAACGUUAGUGCGCGUCAACGUGUUAAAAAAAGGAGACUCCAUUUUUUAUUAAUCCUAAACCGUAUCUAACCGAAUGGUCUGAUUUGGAAUUAAUUUUAAUUGAUUUAACUAGGUUUUGGGUUUGGUUUGAACCGGAACUGAAGUAAAUCUACUAAACCAAAAUAUUCUUUUUAUGUUGGAAUGUGAUACUGGUGCAGUUAUUGGUUUUGUUGAAACUACUAAUCCUAACAAAACUCAAUUUCAAUUUAAUUUACCGAUUCCUAACCAAAAUCCACAUGAAUAUCAAGAACCAUAUCAUUAAUUAUACUCUCACAAGUCAAAACGCGUACCGAACCUCAUAUACCAAACCUAUCCUAACAAAAUCCAGGGUCUAGUUUAUUCUUUCAGCUGCUUGUAAACCAAAGCCAGAUCAUGAUCAAGAACCGGAUCCAUUAACCAAAAAAUAUUUCAAGAAUGGAUAUACUCAAAAAGUCAACACUCUUAUUUAGCCUCAAAAUACCAACCCUAUCCUCAAUAAUAAUUCAACUUGAUCAAUUAUUAUACUCAGAACCCGGUUUAAGGUAACAUCAACUCUUUUAUUAUUUCCAUUAAAGACAAGUCUCUCUAAAACAAACAAGUCGAACUUAAAAACAUUACAAAGUUACAUUUCAAAAAACAAACAAGGAAAAACAAAAGGUGGUGGUGGUGGUGGUGUCAAUCAAAUGGGCUGUGUGCACUUCUUCUGAGAAUGACCAAGCAAAUGACACCUCCCACACUGCACAAUCCUCUUCGGUCUCUUCAAAUUCUCAACUCUCACCACUU